ACAACAAGAACUAGUCAUCCCUUUGUUAUCCUCCCCUGCACUAGCUGCCGUGCGCCUCGAUUUCCCCGCCUCAAACCAAAAGACCGGCGGCGGGGGACGUAGAACCCCUCCUACUCUCUCGCGAUCAAACUCCCGAACCUCCACCAAACCCGAAGCCACCACACCGACACUUCUUAACGCAUCUCCGUCAUGUCCGUUACUACCAUCAGCAAACUCCUCCUCCUCCUCCCCCUCAUUUGACCCACAGCCCUCCCCCUCCCCUGAUCU
rnacentral:ribozyme from 1 species